UCAAGAUAAACUCUUCAAAGAUGCUCAUCAAGAAGCAUUGAAGAAAGAAAUAGAGAGACUGAGGCAAGUAUAUUAUCAUCAAAAUCUCAAGAAGACUGAAAAUGGUACCCCAGAGUCACCACCAAGGCCCGCUGAAGAACAACUUGUUAGCUGAGCCAUAAUGGCUAAGGAAUUUAAAUUACUGGAGGAAAAUUCUAAUUGAAGAGGAGCCUGCAAAAAUUCAUUAAAGGGAACUCAUGAUUAUUAAGAAGCCCUUUUUUCUUUUUCUUUUCGUUCAUAUUUUUUUGGUUUUGUUAUUUUUUAUUCACAGAUGAGUGUGGUUAAUUUUUUGUCUACCAGUCAUCAUAAUUUUAUUUUUAUUUUUUGUUAUUAUUUUUGAAUUAUUUCAAGGAUGACAAGUGAUAGUGGGUUGUGUUGGGAGAUUGUUUUCAUGACCUUUUUUCAGUGUCUGUUGUUCCAUGUGUGUGGUAUUCUUUAUUUGUUCUUUUCAAGAGAAGAAUAAGUAAAUAUGUAAAUAUUCAUCUUUGACUGUACUUAGUUAACUCAAAGUUCAAUGCAA